GUGCUAGAAACGAUGAUGUUGGUCCCGCACAUGUAACUAGUGUUAAAAUAGAGCUUUGCUCGUAAACCAAAUCAGGUGGACUCGGUUAACCUUGCGGAAAUGCUGGGUUGGCUCGUCUACGAAUUGUAAUAAUUAUAUGCGCGGGGGUGAAUCCUUUGCAGACGACUUGAAUGGGAACGGGGUACUGUAAGCGGUAGAGUAGCCUUGUUGCUACGAUCCGCUGAGGUUAAGCCCUUGUUCUAAAGAUUUGU
rnacentral:rRNA from 2 species